AUUGAACGCUGGCGGCAGGCCUAACACAUGCAAGUCGAGCGGAUGAAGGGAGCUUGCUCCUGGAUUCAGCGGCGGACGGGUGAGUAAUGCCUAGGAAUCUGCCUGGUAGUGGGGGAUAGCGUCCGGAACCGGGCGCUAAUACCGCAUACGUCCUGAGGGAGAAAGUGGGGGAUCUUCGGACCUCACGCUAUCAGAUGAGCCUAGGUCGGAUUAGCUAGUUGGUGGGGUAAAGGCCUACCAAGGCGACGAUCCGUAACUGGUCUGAGAGGAUGAUCAGUCACACUGGAACUGAGACACGGUCCAGACUCCUACGGGAGGCAGCAGUGGGGAAUAUUGGACAAUGGGCGAAAGCCUGAUCCAGCCAUGCCGCGUGUGUGAAGAAGGUCUUCGGAUUGUAAAGCACUUUAAGUUGGGAGGAAGGGCAGUAAGUUAAUACCUUGCUGUUUUGACGUUACCAACAGAAUAAGCACCGGCUAACUUCGUG
rnacentral:rRNA from 1 species